rnacentral:rRNA from 1 species
AUUGAACGCUGGCGGCAGGCUUAACACAUGCAAGUCGAGCGAGCGGCGGACGGGUGAGUAAUGUCUGGGAAACUGCCUGAUGGAGGGGGAUAACUACUGGAAACGGUAGCUAAUACCGCAUACCAUCAGAUGUGCCCAGAUGGGAUUAGCUAGUGUGUGGGUGAAUGGCUCACCUAGGCGACGAUCCCUAGCUGGUCUGAGAGGAUGAGCAGCCACACUGGAACGGAGACACGGCCCAGACUCCUACGGGAGGCAGCGGUGGGGAAUAUUGCACAAUGGGCUGGAGCCUGAUGCAGACAUGCCGCGUGUGUGAAGAAGGGCUGCGGGUUGUAAAGCUCUUUUAGCUAGAAGGCGUUACUCGAAGAAGAAGCACCGGCUAACUCCGUGCCAGCAGCCGCGGUAAUAC